GACGAACGCUGGCGGCGUGCUUAACACAUGCAAGUCGAACGGAAAGGCCCUGCUUGUGUGGGGUGCUGGAGUGGCGAACGGGUGAGUAACACGUGAGUAACCUGCCCUUGACUUUGGUAUAACUUCAGGAAACUGGGGCUAAUACCGGAUAGGAGCUCCUGCUGCAUGGUGGGGGUUGGAAAGUUUCGGCGGUUGGGGAUGGACUCGCGGCUUAUCAGCUUGUUGGUGGGGUAGUGGCUUACCAAGGCUUUGACGGGUAGCCGGCCUGAGAGGGUGACCGACCACAUUGGGACUGAGAUACGGCCCAGACUCCUACGGGAGGCAGCAGUGGGGAAUAUUGCACAAUGGGCGGAAGCCUGAUGCAGCAACGCCGCGUGCGGGAUGACGGCCUUCGGGUUGUAAACCGCUUUCGCCUGUGACGAAGCGUGAGUGACGGUAAUGGGUAAAGAAGCACCGGCUAACUACGUG
rnacentral:rRNA from 1 species